UAGCAGUAAACGAUGCCGACUGGACGGGACUAUAUAGUGUUGUGCAUGAGAAAUCUUGAGUAUGUGGGUUCUGGGGAUAGUAUGCUCGCAAGAGUGAAACUUGAAGAGAUUGACGGAAGGACACCACAAG
rnacentral:rRNA from 1 species